rnacentral:tRNA from 1 species
GGGAAUAUAGCUCAGUGGUAGAGCACUUUUGUAGUAUGUAUGAAGCAUGGGUUCAAUGCCCAAUACCACCA